rnacentral:rRNA from 1 species
GACGAACGCUGGCGGCGUGCCUAACACAUGCAAGUCACGGGGGCCCGCAAGGGCAACCGGCGAACGGGUGCGUAACACGUGAGCAAUCUGCCGAUUUCUGGGGGAUAGCCGGUCCAACGACCGGGUAAUACCGCAUACGCUCAUUGGGGGACAUCCCCUGAUGAGGAAACCUCCGGGGGAAAUCGAGGAGCUCGCGGCCUAUCAGCUAGUUGGUGCGGUAACGGCGCACCAAGGCGACGACGGGUAGCUGGUCUGAGAGGAUGGCCAGCCACAUUGGGACUGCGACACGGCCCAGACUCCUACGGGAGGCAGCAGUGGGGAAUAUUGCGCAAUGGACGAAAGUCUGACGCAGCGACGCCGCGUGUGGGAUGAAGCUCUUCGGGGUGUAAACCACUGUUGCUCGGGACGAACCUCCCCUUUCGAGGGGACUGACGGUACCGAGUGAGGAAGCACCGGCUAACUCUGUGCCAGCAGCCGCGGUAAUACAGAGGGUGCAAGCGUUGUCCGGAAUCACUGGGCGUAAAGGGCGCGUAGGUGGCUUGGUAAGCGUGUGGUGAAAGCUCGGGGCCCAACCCCGAGUCGGCCAUGCGAACUGCCGAGCUUGAGCAUGGUAGAGGCAGGUGGAAUUCCGGGUGUAGCGGUGGAAUGCGUAGAUAUCCGGAAGAACACCGGUGGCGAAGGCGGCCUGCUGGGCCAUUGCUGACACUGAGGCGCGACAGCGUGGGGAGCAAACAGGAUUAGAUACCCUGGUAGUCCACGCCGUAAACGAUGGGCACUAGGUGCUUGGGGGAGCGACCCCUGAGUGCCGGCGCUAACGCAUNAAG